GAUGAACGCUAGCGGCAGGCUUAACACAUGCAAGUCGAGGGGCAGCGCGGAGUAGCAAUACUCGUGGCGGCGACCGGCGGAAGGGUGCGUAACACGUGAGCGACUUGCCCGUCACAGGGAGAUAACCGCUGGAAACGGCGACUAAUAUCCCAUAUGAUGGCGAUCUGCAUGGAUUGUCAUUGAAAGAUUCAUCGGUGGCGGAUAGGCUCGCGGGGCAUUAGCUAGACGGCGGGGCAACGGCCCACCGUGGCGACGAUGCCUAGGGGUUCUGAGAGGAAGACCCCCCACACUGGGACUGAGACACGGCCCAGACUCCUACGGGAGGCAGCAGUGGGGAAUAUUGGGCAAUGGGGGAAACCCUGACCCAGCAACGCCGCGUGAAGGAAGAAGGCCCUCGGGUUGUAAACUUCUUUUACCAGGGACGAAGGACGUGACGGUACCUGGAGAAAAAGCAACGGCUAACUACGUG
rnacentral:rRNA from 1 species